CCUACGGGUGGCAGCAGUGGGGGAUAUUGCACAAUGGGCGAAAGCCUGAUGCAGCGACGCCGCGUGAGGGAAGACGGUCUUCGGAUUGUAAACCUCUGUCUUUGGGGAAGAAGAUGACGGUACCCAAAGAGGAAGCUCCGGCUAACUACGUGCCAGCAGCCGCGGUAAUACGUAGGGAGCGAGCGUUGUCCGGAAUUACUGGGUGUAAAGGGAGCGUAGGCGGGGAUGCAAGUUGGAUGUUUAAACUAUCGGCUCAACCGGUAAUGGUAACCAAAACUGCAACUCUUGAGUGAAGUAGAGGCAGGCGGAAUUCCUAGUGUAGCGGUGAAAUGCGUAGAUAUCGCGCAGAACUCCGAUUGCGAAGGCAGCAUGCCGGCUCCACACUGACGCUGAGGCACGAAAGCGUGGGUAUCGAACAGGAUUAGAUACCCGGGUAGUC
rnacentral:rRNA from 1 species